rnacentral:tRNA from 1 species
GGUUCCAUAGUGUAGUAGUUAACAUGUCUGCUUUACAUGCAGAAAGUCCUGGGUUUGUGCCCCAGUGGAGCCA